rnacentral:rRNA from 1 species
AUUGAACGCUGGCGGCAUGCCUUACACAUGCAAGUCGAACGGCAGCACGGGAGCAAUCCUGGUGGCGAGUGGCGAACGGGUGAGUAAAGUAUCGGAACGUGCCAGUCGUGGGGGAUAACGUAGCGAAAGUUACGCUAAUACCGCAUACGAUCCAUGGAUGAAAGCGGGGGAUCGCAAGACCUCGCGCGAUUGGAGCGGCCGAUAUCAGAUUAGGUAGUUGGUGGGGUAAAGGCUCACCAAGCCGACGAUCUGUAGCUGGUCUGAGAGGACGACCAGCCACACUGGGACUGAGACACGGCCCAGACUCCUACGGGAGGCAGCAUUGGGGAAUUUUGGACAAUGGGCGAAAGCCUGAUCCAGCCAUGCCGCGUGCAGGAUGAAGGCCUUCGGGUUGUAAACUGCUUUUGUACGGAACGAAAAGGUUUGGCCUAAUAAGCUGAGCUCAUGACGGUACCGUAAGAAUAGGCACCGGCUAACUACGUGCCAGCCGCCGCCGUAA